UUUUUCCAGUCUGAACUUGUGUAAUAGAAAUUAGCCUGAUAGGCUGUUCCUUUCUUGAUCACAUUUUUCAGCUAGAAGUCAGGCAUCCAACAGCUGCCCAGGAAUGUCUCCACAAGGAGGACAGAUCAUGGGAGGAGAUGGGAGGAGCAUUUCAAGAUGACUAGCUAGAGACAGCGGCCGCCGCGAGUCUCUUGUGCAUACUUCCAAGUAAGAGUUGCUCGCUCUGUGGAAAGAGCAGAGCAUGAAGCCACAGAUGUCCCCAGGACUCCAACUGCCAUUGCUGUCACCAAGCUUCCAGGAGCUGAGUCACUUCUGGGGGCAGAGGCAGCUAAAUCCAUCUUCCCAUCCCCAAAUGCCACCCCAGGGAGGUGCGUACUUCCUGAGCGGUGGCACCAGCAAGCAAGCACUGAGUACCCGGGCAGCACACUGGGGUGUGCCAGAAGGUUUAAUCACUGAUCUCAAAACAAAAAGUGGUGAUCUCGUAAAUUUCAAUUCCUUCAUACCAUCAGGGCAGCCCGGAGAUCAGUUUCCUGAGAAAAGAACUCAGAUUUAUAGAAAAUUUGGCUGGAUGCGGUGGCUCAUGUCUGCACUCACAGUGGUUUGGGAGGCUUAGGGAAGAGGAGCACUUGAAGUCAAGAGUUUAAGACCAGCUUGGGCAACAUAGCAAGACCCCAUCUCUACAAAAAUAAAAUGUAAACAUUAGCCGGGUGUGGUGGCACCUGACUGUGGUCCCAGCUACUUGGGAGGCUGAAGUGGCAGGAUUGCUUGGGUCCAGGAGUUUGAGUCUUCAGUGAGCUAUGAUGGUGCCACUCCACUCCAGCCUGGGUGACAGACUAAGACACUAUUUCUAAAAAAAAAAAAGAGAGAGAUUUUAAGAAAAGUUGCAAAGAGCAUACAGAAUUCCCCUCUACUCCUCACUCAAUUUCCGCUAUUGUUAACAUUACCAAGAAGCUGACAUUGGUGCAUUGUUAUUAACUAUAUUGAUUGAAAUUUUACCAAUUUACCA